rnacentral:rRNA from 1 species
AAUCAACGCUGGCGGCGUGCCUCAGACAUGCAAGUCGAACGAGAAGUUCCCUUCGGGGAAUGAGUAAAGUGGCGCACGGGUGAGUAACACGUAGGUAAUCUACCUUCGGGUGGGGAAUAACCCAGGGAAACUUGGGCUAACACCGCAUAAUGCAGCGGCACCACAUGGUGACAGUUGUUAAAGCGGGGGAUUUUAGGACCUCGCGCCUGAAGAGGAGCCUGCGGCGGAUUAGCNGUUGGUAAGGUAACGGCUUACCAAGGCGACGAUCCGUAGCCGGCCUGAGAGGGCGGUCGGCCACACUGACACUGACAUACGGGUCAGACUCCUACGGGAGGC